UAAACAUUGAUUUUUUUUACACCCAUUAUCCGCCCGGGUAUUACAAGCGUUAGCUCAAAACCCAAAGGACUUGGCGGUGCUUAAGACCCACCUAGAGGAGCCUGUUCUAGAACCGAUAAUCCUCGUUUAACCUCACCCUUUCUUGUUUUUUCCGCCUAUAUACCGCCGUCGUCAGCUUACCCUGUGAAGGUCUAAUAGUGAGCAAAAAUGGCACAGCCUAAAACGUCAGGUCGAGGUGUAGCAUAUGAAGGGGGAAGAAAUGGGCUACAUUCUCUAAAAAUAGAGAACACGGAUAAUAUAUUGAAACAUAUAUUUUAAGGAGGAUUUAGCAGUAAGUGGAAAUUAGAAUGUUCCUCUGAAUUAGGCUCUAAAGCGCGC
rnacentral:rRNA from 2 species